rnacentral:rRNA from 1 species
CCCUUAGAUGUUCUGGGCCGCACGCGCGCUACACUGAUGCAUUCAACGAGUCUAAAACCUGCUCUGAUAGGGGUGGGUAAUCUUUUGAAUGUGCAUCGUGAUUGGGAUAGAUGGUUGCAAUUUUUCAUCUUCAACGAGGAAUGCCUAGUAAACGCAAGUCAUCAGCUUGCAUUGAUUACGUCCCUGCCCUUUGUACACACCGCCCGUCGCUCCUACCCAUUGAAUGAUCCGAUGAAUAUCAUGGAUUGAGGAUGCAAGCAGGUUCGCCUGUCUUCAUCUUCGAGAAGUGAAGUAAAUCUUAUCAUUUAGAGGAAGGAGAAGUCGUAACA